UGAGGAAUAUUGGUCAAUGGGCGAAAGCCUGAACCAGCCAUGCCGCGUGAAGGAAUAAGGCCCUAUGGGUCGUAAACUUCUUUUGUACGGGGAGCAAUAAGGUCUACGUGUAGGCCGAUGGGAGUACUCGUCGAAUAAGCAUCGGCUAACUCCGUGCCAGCAGCCGCGGUAAUACGGAGGAUGCGAGCGUUAUCCGGAAUUAUUGGGUUUAAAGGGUGCGUAGGCUGUUUGUUAAGUCAGGGGUGAAAUACCGCAGCUCAACUGUGGAAUUGCCUUUGAUACUAGCAGGCUUGAAUACUGUUGCCGUGGGAGGAAUGAGUAGUGUAGCGGUGAAAUGCAUAGAUAUUACUCAGAACACCGAUUGCGAAGGCAUCUGACAAGGCUACAACUGACGCUA
rnacentral:rRNA from 1 species